rnacentral:piRNA from 1 species
UCNCAGAUCUGAUGGCCUCUGAUGCCUGUA